UGUGUCAUACCGUCUGUAAUGAAGCAGGC
rnacentral:piRNA from 1 species